CACACAACAAAUCACGAUCACACUGUGUUCUGGUGUAGUGAAAAGCGUUUUACUACGUAAUUUGUGGGAAAUACUUGCUAUAGUUACGUAUGCAUCACAACAUCUCAGCAUGAUGCGGAGAUUGGAAGUGCUUGUCACACGAAAACAUGACAAGCUACCUGUAAUAAUUAACACAAGAGUGGUCCAGUAAAUUCAUGCUCACCAAAUGUAAAGAUUCACAGAUCCCGAGGACAGUGUGGCCACAGCAGCUGCCAGAGGGUGUCAUCACAACACCACAGGAAAACCCCAUCCAGAUGGAGCCUUUGCCUCCUCUGCCUGCUCUCGUCCUACCAAUGGAGCUGGACCCACAAAUGUUGGUUGAUUGGGUAGACUUUUAUAGCAAGUUUCCUUUUGCUGUGCCAGUGAACUCAACAACGUCACAUAGCACUUUUUAGGUGUUGUCCUCAAUUGUUUCCUUUGAAGAUUUGCCUAAACUCAUAGUGUUGGACAAUGGUUCUCAGUUCACAUCAAAUGAAUUUGAAUCAUUCUGUGAACACAAUGGCAUACAGCACCUAACUAGUGCACCAUUCCAUCCACAGUCGAACUGUUAAGUGGAACAUUUUAUCAGAAUCAAAAGAAGGCUGGAAGUAUCGCUUCGAACUGCAUGAUUUUGUGUUUUAUGGGGUUUUUAGCAGCAGCAGAUGGUGGGUGCAAGGCAAGAUCCUUUGUCGAAUUGGCCUAUGCAUGUAUCUCAUUUCAGGCCCAGACGGAUUGCAGCACCGACAUUACAAUAAAAUUCACCACUGCCAUGUGCAUGGUUAUCCUUCUGUAUCUCUUCCCCCAGAUUCACAGAUCCCGAGGACAGUGUGGCGACAGCAGCUGCCAGAGGGUGUCAUCACAACACCACAGGAAAACCCCAUCCAGAUGGAGCCUUUGCCUCCUCUGCCUGCUCUCGUCCUACCAAUGGAGCUGGACCCACAAAUGCCGCAGUAACCAACGCCUUCUACAUUGUGGUAUGGGCCUCAGGAGGUGGACACGUACCCUUCUGGAUGUCUUCCGGGGGACAUUUCCACCAGUGCACAGGCCAGAUAGUGGGGUAUGACUGGAAGUCUCACGUCCCCUGCAGCCACAGCUUCCAGUCCAUUAGUGUGUCCACCCUGCUGCCUCCCCCACUGUUUUCGUGCUCCAUAUACAAUGACAGUCCAUCACCUUGGUGGGGAGCAAUGUAACGGCAUAAAGUCAAGCAUCAGCAUGCUAUUUGGGAAUGACAGAAAAGAGGUGGCUGUGAGAAGAUGUCAGCCAGUCGCACGCUGACUGACCCCUCUCCAGGAUGACUACACGACAACAGCAGCCCCUAUGUCAAGAGGACAUAAGUGCCAUGACUGACUGGUGAUGCUCCAGUUGGAUAGCCACUUCACGACCAGCGGCUGGAUAAAAGCGUCAGUGCUCAUUACUUUGCUUGUACACUCUAUGUAACACAGACAUGGGAACUGUUAUACUGAAGAAAUUGCUUAUUUUGUAAGUCACUCUUUGCUUGUGACACAUCUGUGUAAUUGUCAGAUUUAAGUAUUGUCUUUUAAUUUUUUGUAAUAAAACUCAUUAAUAUGA